GUCGUUUGUCGAUUCUCUUUCUUGUUUGUUGUUGCUUAUGUUUAGUCGGUCGCGCACUGUUGUAAGGUGCGCACGUGUUUAGUUCAUCUCCUCGUUUCUUAUCUUUUUAAAUCGGUAGUGGAAUUAGAAUCGGUUGGCCAUCGAUGGCAUUCAGUAUUAACAAUCGAGUGUGGCGUUCAGUUAAUGAUUUAUCGCGCGUGUUUCCUAGUUAAAUAGUUAAUUGCUGAAAUAAAUUUCGUUUGUGUUCUGUGGAAAGAACCGGACGAGCAAGUUAGCUGAAAUACUUUAUCAUUUUUAGAUAUAGUUUUGUGUAUAAAGCAUCAAAAGUGAAUCCGUGUUUUAUUUUUAUAAAGGUGUCUCGCGAGCGGACGAAAUGUCGUUCGUAGCACAACGAUUUUUGCAUCAGCCUGUGUCUAGCAAGCGAACAAAUUGCCCUAGGACAACGAUUCUUUCAUCAGAUUUUUUUGUGGGUUUUAGGUGUCUAGCAAGCGAACAAAUUGCCCUAGGACAACGCUUCUUUCAUCAGAUUGUGUCUAGUAAACGAACAAAUUGCCCUAGGACAAAGAUUCUUUUAUCAGAUCGUGUCUAGCUAGCGAACAAAUUGCCCUAGGACAUCGAUUCUUUCAUCAGAUUGUGUCUAGCAGGCGAACAAAUUGCCCUAGGACAACGAUUUUUUUUAUCAGAUUGUGUCUAGCGGCGAACGCGAUGUCGUAGAACAACCAUUCUUUCAACAUUUGAAGAAGAAAAUAAUACAACAUUUGUGUUUAAUACAAGCGGAACCAACAUAUGUGGUAUUUUUUCACAGUACGUUAAUUAAAAUCCUUUCUUUCAAAUAAUGUUGUUUGUAAACUGAUAAAUUUAUAACUUGCAAUAUAUUUGUAAUAGCAUUUAGGUCGUGCGCAGAUAGAAGAAUGCCCCUCCAACUGCGGGUCGGUUAUCAAUUCUCUUACCUGCUUAUUCCGCCUUAGUCGGUUCAGCGCUGUCUCGUGGUGCGCACGUGUUUUGUUCAUUAAUCAAACAUGGUGACAAUUUUACGCGUUUCUUAAUAUUUUAAUUCUGUAGUAAUACUAGAAUCGGUUGACCAUCAGAGACAUUUAAUAGUAACAGCCCAGUGUAGCCACAACGAGUGAUUUGAGUGAUCCUUUACGAUGCGUGCGUGGCGUCCGUCGGAUAUGUUACGAUGCCCAUGUGUUUGAUGUGAGAACAAGUUUUCCAUUUGCGAUAUCCGCGUGGAAUAGUAAAGUAGUGCGUAUCAUCAAUUCUACUUACAAUUUGCGGAAUGGUGUUUGUGCGCUUUAGUUUUUUAUGGAUGGAAGAACAAAGAAGUAUGAUUACUGCUUAAUAACAAUUGUAAAUGAUUCAGUUAAUAAAAUAUAAUUUAAUCUUA